AGAGUUUGAUCAUGGCUCAGGAUGAACGCUAGCGGCAAGCUUAAUACAUGCAAGUCGAGGGGCAGCAUGAAGUAGCAAUACUUUGAUGGCGACCGGCAAACGGGUGCGGAACACGUACACAACCUUCCUUUUAGUGGGGAAUAGCCCAGAGAAAUUUGGAUUAAUACCCCGUAAUAUAACGAUGUGGCAUCACAUUGUUAUUAUAGCUUCGGCGCUAGAUGAUGGGUGUGCGUAUGAUUAGAUAGUUGGCGAGGUAACGGCUCACCAAGUCUACGAUCAUUAGCUGAUGUGAGAGCAUGAUCAGCCACACGGGCACUGAGACACGGGCCCGACUCCUACGGGAGGCAGCAGUAAGGAAUAUUGGUCAAUGGACGCAAGUCUGAACCAGCUAUGCCGCGUGAAGGAUUAAGGUCCUCUGGAUUGUAAACUUCUUUUAUCUGGGACGAAAAAAGGUUUUUCUAAGCCUCUUGACGGUACCAGAUGAAUAAGCACCGGCUAACUCCGUGCCAGCAGCCGCGGUAAUACGGAGGGUGCAAGCGUUAUCCGGAUUCACUGGGUUUAAAGGGUGCGUAGGCGGGCAGGUAAGUCAGUGGUGAAAUCCUGGAGCUCAACUCCAGAACUGCCAUUGAUACUAUCUGUCUUGAAUAUUGUGGAGGUAAGCGGAAUAUGUCAUGUAGCGGUGAAAUGCUUAGAUAUGACAUAGAACACCCAUUGCGAAGGCAGCUUACUACGCAUAUAUUGACGCUGAGGCACGAAAGCGUGGGGAUCAAACAGGAUUAGAUACCCUGGUAGUCCACGCCCUAAACGAUGGAUACUCGACAUACGCGAUACACUGUGUGUGUCUGAGCGAAAGCAUUAAGUAUCCCACCUGGGAAGUACGUUCGCAGAAUGAAACUCAAAGGAAUUGGCGGGGGUCCGCACA
rnacentral:rRNA from 1 species